UCUUCCCAUAUAAAAGUAGGUACAACCCAUAGGGCAGUCUUCCUACGGGAGGCAGCAGUUAGGAAUAUUGGACAAUGGAGGCAACUCUGAUCCAGCCAUGCCGCGUGUAGGAAGACUGCCCUAUGGGUUGUAAACUACUUUUAUAUGGGAAGAAUAAGGUCUACGUGUAGACUGAUGACGGUACCAUAAGAAUAAGCACCGGCUAACUCCGUGCCAGCAGCCGCGG
rnacentral:rRNA from 1 species